GGAGUUGUGGCUCAAUGCUAGAGCACUUGCCUAGCAUGUGUGAGGCACUGGGUUCAAUUCUCAGCACUUCA
rnacentral:tRNA from 1 species